UGUAGCAGCCAUAUCACCCUGUAGCCCAAUACUGGUUGCCCACUGAAGCUAAGCAAGGCUGAGCCUGGUCAGUACCUGGAUGGGAGACCUCCUGAGAAAACUAGGUUGCUGCUGGAA
rnacentral:rRNA from 1 species